rnacentral:rRNA from 1 species
CCUACGGGAGGCAGCAGUAGGGAAUAUUGCUCAAUGGGGGAAACCCUGAAGCAGCAACGCCGCGUGGAGGAUGGAGGUUUUCGGAUUGGAAAAUCCUUUUGUUAGAGGAGAAAAUGACGGUAUUUGUCGAAUAAUGACCGGCUAACGCCGAUCCAGCAGCAGCGGUAAUACGGCGGGUGCAAGCGUUACUCGGAAUCACUGGGCGUAAAGAGCGCGUAGGCGGGUUAGCAAGUCAGAUGUGAAAUCCUAUGGCUUAACCAUAGAACUGCAGUUGAAACUGUAAGACUAGAGUAUGGGAGAGGUAGGCGGAAUUCUUGGUGUAGCGGUGAAAUGCGUAGAUAUCAAGAGGAAUACUCAUUGCGAAGGCGACUUGCUAGAACAUAACUGACGCUGAUGCGCGAAAGCGUGGGGAGCAAACAGGAUUAGAUACCCCUGUAGUC